rnacentral:rRNA from 1 species
UACGUAGGGUGCGAGCGUUAAUCGGAAUUACUGGGCGUAAAGCGUGCGCAGGCGGUUUUGUAAGCCAGAUGUGAAAUCCCCGGGCUCAACCUGGGAAUGGCAUUUGGGACUGCAAGGCUUGAGUGCGGCAGAGGAGACUGGAAUUCCUGGUGUAGCAGUGAAAUGCGUAGAUAUCAGGAGGAACACCGGUGGCGAAGGCGACGAUCCUGG